CAUCACACUACUACAAUGCAUUUACACUGUAGCCUGUAGACUUUGUUCCACUUUCUACCGUACUCCCUGUUCCCCGACUCACGUUCUCUCUCUCUAAAGAAAUUCAUCAGUUCGCUUGAAAGCGCCUUCUCCUGUGCUCUCCCUUCCACACCAUCCCUUCAAAACUUCUCACACGCUUCGUGAAAAAUCUAUCGGUUCUCACUCGAAGAACCUUGAUUGUCACCUCCACCACCAACAUUGACGCGGUGGGUCUGGCGGCUACAGGCAUCGGGAGUCAUCAGAUCAAGCGGGUAACUAAGCCCAAGGUCUUCAAAUGUUCGUGAACAGGAACAAAACCCGGCUAAUGAAUCCACGUACCUAACAAGGAACAAAACUCAAUUUUCUUUUGUUCUUUGAGACCCACACAGGAUCCGUAUAUAGUGGAGGUGACUUCUACAAAAACAUUCUGAUGUCUUUAUUGUUUGGAAAACAUUUUCUUUGUAACAUACUAAUAACUCCAUAACCAGCUUAUCAAUGUAAAACAUUGAUGUCAUAAACUGCUGUAGAUUGCAAUGACCUAAAUAUUAUAUUAUUCUUUCCCCAAAUAAAAUAGUUACAUCCAAUCA